rnacentral:rRNA from 1 species
UGGGGAAUUUUGGACAAUGGGGGAAACCCUGAUCCAGCCAUCCCGCGUGUGCGAUGAAGGCCUUCGGGUUGUAAAGCACUUUUGGCAGGAAAGAAACGUCAUGGGUUAAUACCCCGUGAAACUGACGGUACCUGCAGAAUAAGCGCCGGCUAACUACGUGCCAGCAGCCGCGGUAAUACGCAGGGUGCAAGCGUUAAUCGGUAUUACUGGGCGUAAAGCGUGCGCAGGCGGUUCGGAAAGAAAGAUGUGAAAUCCCAGAGCUCAACUUUGGAACUGCAUUUUUAACUACCGGGCUAGAGUGUGUCAGAGGGAGGUGGAAUUCCGCGUGUAGCAGUGAAAUGCGUAGUUAUGCGGAGGAACACCGAUGGCGAAGGCAGCCUCCUGGGAUAACACUAAAGAUCAUGCACGAAAGCGUGGGGAGCAAACAGG